AGUGGCAGACGGGUGAGUAACAUGUAGGUAUCUGCCCUUUGGCCUGGAAUAACACGAGGAAACUUGUGCUAAUACCGGAUAAGUCUUUACGGAGAAAGCUUUAUGCACCAUUGGAUGAGCCUGCACUUGAUUAGUUUGUUGGUGGGGUAAUGGCCUACCAAGACUGUGAUCAAUAGCUGAUUUGAGAGGAUGAUCAGCCACAUUGGGACUGAGACACGGCCCAAACUCCUACGGGAGGCAGCAGUGGGGAAUCUUGCACAAUGGAGGAAACUCUGAUGCAGCGAUGCCGCGUGAGUGAAGAAGGCCCUUGGGUUGUAAAGCUCUUUCGUCGGGGAAGAAAAUGACUGUACCCGAAUAAGAAGGUCCGGCUAACUUCGUGCCAGCAGCCGCGGUAAUACGAAGGGACCUAGCGUAGUUCGGAAUUACUGGGCUUAAAGAGUUCGUAGGUGGUUGAAAAAGUUGGUGGUGAAAUCCCAGAGCUUAACUCUGGAACUGCCAUCAAAACUUUUCAGCUAGAGUAUGAUAGAGGAAAGCAGAAUUUCUAGUGUAGAGGUGAAAUUCGUAGAUAUUAGAAAGAAUACCAAUUGCGAAGGCAGCUUUCUGGAUCAUUACUGACACUGAGGAACGAAAGCAUGGGUAGCGAAGAGGAUUAGAUACCCUCGUAGUCCAUGCCGUAAACGAUGUGUGUUAGACGUUGGAAAUU
rnacentral:rRNA from 1 species